GAACUGGUCAGAACCUGCUGAAUACCACCUCUGCUUCUUGGGGAUAAUUGAGGGGGCACAUAGACAGGGUAAAGAAAUAAUUAGUGGGAUCCAAGCCC